CCUGAUCCGCAACGCCGCGUGAGGGAUGACGGCCUUCGGGUUGUAAACCUCUUUCAGUACCGACGAAGCGCACGUGACGGUGAGAACAGAAGAAGCACCGGUCCACUACGUGCCACCAGCCGAGGCAAUGGGUACGGUGCUAGCGUUGAAUGGAAUUAUUGGACGUAAAGGGCUGGUAGGCGGUUUGUCGGGUGUGAAGUGAAAACUCUGAGCUUAACUCCUACCUUGCUUUCUGUACGGCCAGACUUCAGGUAUGGAGGGGAGAACGGCAUUCCUGGUGUAGAGGUGAAAUGCUCAUAUAUAAAGAGGAACACCGGUGGGCAAGGCUGUUCUCUGGGCCUGACCUGACGCUGAGGAACCAAGGGGUGGGGAGCGAACUGGAUUACAUGCCCUGGCAGUCCACACCGUAUACGUUGGGCGCUAGGGGUGGGACUCAUUCCACGGGUUCCGCGC
rnacentral:rRNA from 1 species